GCCAACUUAGCUCAGUCGGUAGAGCAUCUCCCUCGUAAAGAGAAGGUCGGAGGUUCGAUUCCUCUAGUUGGCACUA
rnacentral:tRNA from 1 species